GACGAACGCUGGCGGCGUGCUUAACACAUGCAAGUCGUACGGUAAGGCCCUUUCGGGGGUACACGAGUGGCGAACGGGUGAGUAACACGUGAGUAACCUGCCCACAACUUUGGGAUAACGCUAGGAAACUGGUGCUAAUACUGGAUAUGUGCUCCUGCUGCAUGGUGGGGGUUGGAAAGCUCCGGCGGUUGUGGAUGGACUCGCGGCCUAUCAGCUCGUUGGUGGGGUAGUGGCCUACCAAGGCGGCGACGGGUAGCAGGCAUGAGAGGGUGACCGGCCACAUUGGGACUGUGAUACAGCCCAGACUCCGACGGGAGGCAGCAGGGGGGAAUAUUGCACAAUGGGCGGAAGCCUGAUGCAGCAACGCCGCCUGCGGGAUGACCUCCUUCGGGUUGUAAACCGCUUUCAGCAGGGACGAAGCUUUUUGUGACGGUACCUUCAGAAGAAGCACCGGCUAACUACGUG
rnacentral:rRNA from 1 species